UGGGGAAUAUUGCACAAUGGGCGCAAGCCUGAUGCAGCCAUGCCGCGUGUGUGAAGAAGGCCUUCGGGUUGUAAAGCACUUUCAGCGAGGAGGAAGGGUGGUGAGCUUAAUACGCUCAUCAAUUGACGUUACUCGCAGAAGAAGCACCGGCUAACUCCGUGCCAGCAGCCGCGGUAAUACGGAGGGUGCAAGCGUUAAUCGGAAUUACUGGGCGUAAAGCGCACGCAGGCGGUUUGUUAAGUCGGAUGUGAAAUCCCCGGGCUCAACCUGGGAACUGCAUUUGAAACUGGCGAAGCUAGAGUCUCGUAGAGGGGGGAUAGAAUUCCAGGUGUAGCGGUGAAAUGCGUAGAGAUCUGGAGGAAUACCGGUGGCGAAGCGGCCCCCUGGACGAAGACUGACGCUCAGGUGCGAAAAGCGUGGGGAGCAAAACAGGAUUAGAUACCCCUGGUAGUCC
rnacentral:rRNA from 1 species